GGGAGGAUGGAAGGAAAAGAAGGAAGACAGGAAGGGGGAGUGAGGAAGGGAGAGAAAGAGAAAGAGAGGAAAGGAGGAGAGGAAAGAAAGAAAGAAAGAAAGAAAGAAAGAAAGAAAGAAAGAAAAGAAAGAAAGAAAUGCCAUUGAAUCUUCUCAUUAAAAUCCACAGCAUCCUAAAGAUAGAGGUACUUUUUAUUUUUUUAAAGACUAUCCUUGAUUGCAGUAUUGGUUUAUGGUAAUUGCAUGGAGAAUACCAGUUUGGGGAAGAAUUAAGUUUGCGGCUUAAAGAACUCAGACCCUCACCCAACAGAACAAAAUUAUACAAUAUUAAAAAGUAUAGAAGCUCCCUGUACAGAAGGAACACUAGAAAACUCAUGAAUUUAAUGACACCAACAGUGCGGAUCCAAGAAAAAGGUUGCCAGACACAUUUGUUGUCUCCAUUGUUGAUAAGGAUGGUUUUUCAUCUCAGCACAAGGUAAGCAUUGUUUCCACACCAAGGUUUGAAGCCUAGACUUUCAGCCCAAAUUGAUGGUGGCCACUGGUCCUUGGAACUUUGAAUUCUGCCCAUGCUGCAGAAUGGUUGACCAUUCUCCCGGAAAAUCGCCUCUACUUGGGCUGAGCUGCUGCUGCCACCAGCUUUAAGACUCCACAGUGCUGACCUCCAUCCUUCAGCACUUCAGGACUCAAAACCUCAAGGCAGGCCAGUGCCCAUCACUCGAAUACUCAGCUGCUGGGGAGUGUGGUCACACACUGGCAACCCCUCAUUAAUUUGCAACCUGGGUGACUAGAGAAAUUAAGGGUCACUGUUCAGACCAACUUACUUCAGGGCAGAGGUACUUUUUUUUUUUUUUUUUGUAGAAAGGGGAACCAGGGUGCAAAGUGUGCUGAAUGAGAACUCUUUGAGACUCAGUGAUGAAUCCAUGUGUAAACGUCAGUUUGCUGUUGCACGUACGUCCCACUUCCCUUUGUGCCUGCACGCAAAGGCAGAGAAUAGGCUAUCUAAAAUUUGUAUUUUUCUAAGAAAAACAAAAAUACCUCUGUGUUCAUGCUGUGUCUAAACAAGCAGAGUAAAUUGAGACAUUUAAACUUGAGACAAUUUAGGCUAAAGAUACAUUUGCUUGUAACAUCAAUAUAAUUGACUCAAAAGGUGUUUUUUUUUUUUUUUGACUUCCCUAAAUACUGAUCUCAAUUCCACUUCUGUGUGGACAGAAGCUACAAAUAUAUAGUAAAAAUAAAAAGGCACUUGCAAAUUUGGGACUUUAGUUCAUGGGCAGACCUAUUGUAACAUCAAUUUUUUUUAUUAUUGUCCUCAAUCAUUAAUUCAGUUAAUAUUUAUCAAAUAUUAUCUACCACAUUCUUAGCUCUGUGCUGUGCAGUGGAGCUCAUAGUCUAGUGUAGAGACAGACAUGUAAACAAGCAAUUAAUAAAAUAUGGUGUGGUAUAAUGGAAAUAAGUCCUACAGGAAUGAUAAAUUCUUCCUGUGUGCUCUGGGAAGGUGACAUGUGGGAGAUGACAUUUCAGCUGUGUCUUAAAGAUGAAUAGUUGUCCACUGUCAGAGGGUGGGAAAUACAUCACAGGUAAGGGGAACAGUGAGUGCAAAGAUAGAAGUCCACGGAAAAGGAUAGUGUAGUGGCCUUAUUACAUAGAGUAUGUGAUAAAUAGAAGAUGAUGUUGAACUAACUAAUUGUAAAUGCCUUUUUUAAUUCACUCUAGGGAAAUUAAAUUCUAUUUAUGGGCAUCAGGAAGUCAUAGUUUUAAGCAGAAAAUAAUAUAAUUAUAUUUAUUCUACUAGAAAGAAUUCUGCAUAAAGAAUGGGUUGGCAGUGGUUGAGUCUGUAGGUAAGAGUGAAUUACAUGGUCGUUAUUUUAGUCAAGGCAUAAGGAAAUGAAUGAGGGGAUUUACUUGGGAAGUGGAAGGGAAGAUGAAAAAGAUAUAAUCGAGAGAUAUUUAGGAGGUAGAAAUGAAGGACUUGAUGACUAAUACAACUGAUACAACUAAUAUGGGAGAGGAAGGUCAAGUUGAACAGUUGUCUCAAUGGUGGUGCUCUUAUGGAGAAAGGGUGUUAACAGUUCCUCCUCUUCAAAUAUUUCAGGAACUGUAUUGAGUCAUUUCCAUAUGUUAGUUUAUUCAAAUCUCCCAGUAACAAUGGGACAUAAACAAUAGGGAGUUUUAUCAUUAUUUUUUAUGGAACUCAGGAAGGGUGAGACAGUUGUCUAGUAUCACAACUGGAACACAGUCGCGUCAGGAUUAGAAUCGGAGUCUUAUAAAAGCCAGUGUAUUUUCCACACAUUUCUGUAAGUGUAAUAAUUGUGUAAGUAGCAUUAAUGAAAUUUCCCUGUGAAAACCCUGAAGUUAAUUUUGAAUCAAAGUAAAUCACACAUUUGACUAAUGAGUGUUAUGACAAAUUUGAGCCUUUCAUUUUGAGUGAAAUCAUUUCUUUUUUCUAAAACCGAACUAUUUUAUUUUAUUUUUUUUAAUUCUUAAAAAUUUUUAGAUUUUUUUUUUUGCUGCUAAACAACAACAUACCUGAAAAUAAGUUUAAACUCCUAUUAACUGGUUUGUAGUAAAAAAAAAAAAUUGACAUCUCUUAGCUAAGUUUUGUUUUGUUUUUGUUUUUGUUUUUGCUGUAAAGGGAUCUGCUAUACAGAUAAGGCCUAAUGCAUGGGUAGAAUAAUAGGUUUUCAAAUAGCUAAUCACUUGAUUUCAACUCAUGGGAGAUUUGACUUUCAGUAUUUCCAUAUUACUGAUUCAAAAGAACUUAGGAAAAUAUAUUAUCAAAUAAAAAUAUUUCUAUAGUUAGCUGAGCAAAAUUUUCUUUUUCCUAGCAAGCACAGUGGGCUUUUACUUGUUACAUAAUAGUUUAUUAGAUGGAAAAAAAUAAGGUGUGCUUUUUCAUGCAGUAGCCACUUAAUUUUCCCUGAUCAUUUCUAGUUCUCAGUUAGGUUAUCUCAUUUUAAGUACGGAGGAUGCUGUAUUUUCCAGUAUCUUCUUUUGCUUUUGUGGUGAUUGGGAAGGUAUUCCUUUGCAUGAGCUACUCUCACGCACCUGGCCCGAAAUCUGUGAAAGAGAAUACGAUGAAAAAAAAAAACGACAUGGCCUCCAGCACUUUCUUCUUUCUUUCUUUUUUAUUUUAUUUUAUUUUUUAUUUUUCAUAUGAAACAUUUUCCUGCCAGGAUCUUCUAUAUACAGUUGGAGGAUGCUUUUGAUAUGUAGAUCAAGCAAAAUGGUAAAUACAGAGCCCUCUCUUUUCAAACAUUCCCUUAUUCUACAAUGUGCCUGUAGUGUCACUGUCUUUGAUUUCCAUGAGGCUUGCCCUUGGGUUUGUAUUGUAACUUGGUAUCUUUCCAUUGUCCCUUACCACAAAAAAAAUUCCUUUUUAAGAAACUGAAUUCAGAAUGUAAUCCAUCAAGCUUUAGCUCCUCUUUCUCUUUCCUUCUGGAAGAUUUAGUGACUAAGUCUUUGCUUUGAUUUUCUUUCUCUGACUUUGAGGGGUCUCACUUUCUCUUCUAAUUGCUACAAUCUGGUAACUCCUUUUGCUUGGAGUAAACAAAAACAGAAACACUUGGUGAGGAGACAAACAGGCUCACAAGCUCACGUGCCUGACUAGCUGAUGGAUGGCAAGGUCUGGCUCUCAGGAAGAGAUCUUUCCAUGGCACCAUGCAACGUCAGUUUCAGGAUGGGCUCUCUGCCAGGCACAGUGGAGCUCACCUUCUAGUACCAAACGUAUCUAGUUGCACUCCAUAAAGAUUAUAUAAAGGACUUAUUCGUAAAUGUGCAUAAUUCUGCUGCCAGAGUAUAGGAGAGUGAGAGAGUUAAUUCUGACUAGAGGAAUACAGGUUUCCUGGAAGAGAAGGGAUUUUCCUGGUCUUCCAAAAUGGAUAGGAUUUUGAGAGGAGACGUUUAGUCUUCCACUGGCUCUAAUAUGUAUCUUAGAAAUCCGUAAGAUUUUAGAAGGCUGUUGAAGCAACACUUGAGAGCCCAAUUCAAGGAUAAGACCUGGUGACAUCACUGAUACCGGAUUCAUACAGAGAAGGAAUAGGUAUGGAAGGCUGUUUGUCUGGGACACAUCUGAAACAAGAAUCUUAACAAUGGUAAAUCUAAAAGCUGGGUCUUCUAAUCUCACGGUAUCAUGUGAUUUUUCUUUCUUACACUCACUGUUAAAACUUCCCAUCCCGAAGUAACAGCAUGUUCACACACAAACACCCCCAUAGACAACUGAAACCAUUAAUAUUCGCAUAGGCCUUGUGACUCAAAGUGUGGGCUCUAGACCCAGAUCACCUGGGAGCUUGUAAGAAAUGCAGAAUCUGGAGCCCCACCCCAGAUGGACUGACUCGAGAUCUGCAUUUUAACACGGUAUCUGGAUUAUUCUCACGCACGUGAAGCCUGAGAAGCACUGACUUAAAAAGCAAGUUUUCGAAGUUGCACGGCCCUCUCAUCCUUAAAACCCAUGUAUGUUCAAUUUCAAACCACUACGUAUUUCCCCAUUAUUUAAGGCAGUACAGUUUAGUGAGUGGUUAAGAACAAGUGUUUCCAGAAAUUCCCUGUCCAAAUGGCCUGAAGCCCACUUCCAGGGCCAAUUUAGGCCUCUUCCCUGGGUCAGUCCUCCUAAGGGUGUAGCUGUCUGGAGUUGGGGCAGGCCAGAGAUGGAGGCUGGACACAUGCUGGGUAGGCCCCUGCCGUACAGAACGGAGCAGGGGGCGGGAAGGGAAUAGGGUUGGUCCCAAGUUCAGGCUUCCAUUUGUACCCUAGCCCAGGCCUUGCGUGUGUGUGUUAGCGAGUAUGGUAAUUAUUAAAAAUCUAUCUGUGGCUGUAAGUUGACAAUUUUGUGAAAUAGAGAAUCUAGUCUUGGAAAAAAAAAUGCUUGCAAUUUCUUCCACCCCUCCUUCUACUGCUGUGGUUGGCAGGAUAACAGGUACCAGUCCUGAUGCCAUGCCCUUCUUUUUCAUCUAGUUUCUCUGCUUCCAUUCACACUAUUUCUAGUGUGGCACUGCAGAGAGGGACGUUUCCUUAGAGACUCACACAUACACUCGGGCUUCCAGGCUCUGUGCCAGAGGAGUCUGACAGUGACACAGAGGGCAGUGUACUUUCCUAGAUAUACAGGCACAGCUCUCACUGCCGUCAGUGGGAGUUCUAUGGUCAGCUUGAGAGCCGAGUACAGUCUGGAAUUAAAAAUUUGUCCUCAAGGUAAGGCAGAAAAAGUGGCUGGUUACAGAAGAGCCAUACUCCACAAUUAAAUAGCAAAUGCCUCGAGAUGGAGAGAAGAAUACCUCUAAGGUCCAGAAGGAGAAGCAGGUGAAAGUAAGUUGAAUUACAGCCAAUCAUCAAAGGAAUUUUGAAAAUUCCUUGAAAGAAAUUAUGUAGUAAACUACCUGUUUAUUAAGAGGUCUUUAAAAUUAAGGAUUUCACCUACUUAGAAGAUUCUAGAAAGAAAGAUUCUGUGAACACUACACAAUAUCCUUAUAUGCUAUUUUCUUUAUCUGGCACCCUUAAUUCCACCCCUCUUCCAGGUCUCGGUUUAAAAGGAAGCCUUCCUAGAUUAGCUCAGGUGCCCUCUUGUAAGUGUGCUCAGAGCAUCCUGCAUUUCUUCUUCAUAGCAUCCAUCCGGUCCAAUUAAAUAUUUGGGUAAUCAUGUGGUUUAUGUGCGUCUCUCCAAGUAGACUGUAAGCUUUCUGAAGACAAGGGCUGUGUCUGUAUAAUUAUGUGCCUGAAACACACUGGCCACUCAAUAAACACUUGUUCAAUGAGUUUACAUUUGGUAGCCUGAAUAUAAACUCCAAAAAGUUUAUACUGAAACACAUCUGCCAAAAUUUACAGACACCUACUGGAUCCUCACCCGGACCUAUUUCCUGUUCAGACACGAUUAAGGGGAUUGUUUAUCUGUUUUCCUAAACCACAGAAGACUCAAGUAGUAAAGUAGAAAGAAAAAGAAGGGAGGAGAACUAGGAAGGCAUGAAAAAAGCCAACUGGACUGACAGCUUCACAGAGCUAGAGGACAGAACACUUACCCAUAAAAGAACUAAAAGAACUAAAAGAACAGAACAACACCAACAAGAAUAUAACCACGUGGAGCCUCUAUCAAGGGCAAGAUAUUGCAGAGGGUACCUUUGUAAAAUUUCAGAAUCCUACAAUUACUGUUGAUAAUUAAUGCAUCUCCAUUAAAAAGUACAGGGCAAGAGGCACCUGGAUGGCUCAGUCGGUUAAGCAUCUGACUUCAGCUUAGGUCAUGAUAUCAUGAUUCUGAGUUCGAACCCGCAUUGGGCUAUCUGCUGUCAGCUCAGAGCCCAGAGCCCCCUUCAGAGCCUCUGCACCGCCCCCACCCCUCCCCCAACCUCUCAAAAAUAAAUAAACAUUUUUUUUUAAAUACAGGAAAAUUUGUAUUUCAUAUAUGCCGCUUAAGAAGGCAGGAAAAUAAAUAUUUUGGAAAGAUUGUUACAAAUCAAUUAUCUGAAAGCAAAUUUGUAGAGGCACCUGGAUAGCUCAGUCAGUUAAGCGUCUGAUUCUUGAUUUUGGCUCACGUCAUGAUCUCAUGGUUCGUGGGUUUGAGCCUUGCAUCAGGCUCUGCAAUGACGGCACGGAGCCCGCUUGGGAUUUCCUGUCUCCCUCUCUCUGCUCCUCCCCUGCUCAUGCUCUCUCUCUCUCUCUCUCUCUCAAAAUAAAUAAACAAAAAUGAAAAAAAAAAGUAAAAGCAAGUUUGUAACAUACUGAAUAUAUAGAUAGUAUCCAUUAUAAUACAUUUUAAACAUUUAUAAAGCACUUUUCUAUAUUUUGUCUCAUUUGAUUUUCAUAAAAUACAGGAGGGGGUAAACUGCAAUUGUCAGAAAAAUUUGCUUAUGUGGAACAUCAUACUUCAGGGUAAGGCUGAUGAGUCAGGUGCUACUAUAAUUUUCUCACCAAAUACUAUAAGGAGUAUUUAGAUGUAGAUUUUUUUCAAAGAAUUGUUCAAAAGAGAUUUCAUUAUGGUUUCAAAAAGUUUUUAAAAUCCAACUUUUUUUUCCCAAUAAUGAUUUACUGAGAGUUAGACAGUAUAUUUAAAUUAAGUCACCUAAAUCUUACAACGGAGGUGCAUAAAUAAUAUAGACGAGAUCUUAUACAUAUGCAGUAGAUGCAAAUUUUAUUAUUUAUAAUAUUUUUAAAGUAGAUGUGUUCUGGACAUUAACUUAUUAUUUUACAUUCAUUAUGCCCCUGUAUGUUGGCAGUGCUCUUUGUAGAAUGCUGAAUUUUACAGAAACCAUACACACUCACACGCACUGUCCAAAUCACACUUACUUUAAAGCAUACUAGGAAUGCAAAAAUGCACUUUAAAUUUCCAAAUGUUGCCAGUACUCAGCAUUGCGUUUAAUUUUUUCCUUGAAAUAAAGAAUAAUGGCAACCAUGUAAAAAGUACAAAGUAUGUCAGAGAUGAUAAGGAAAACUUGUUGACAGACAAAAGACAGUCCCAGGAAAGUUGUUCUGUCAAUAGCAGCUGUUACAUAGCAAUAUAAAACCGUCUUUAUAUAAAGUGUUCACUUUAUGGUUCCUUCUACAGGAGAUCAAAAAUUAAAUAUAUGCAGGAACAUAAUUAGAGAAUUAAUGGCCAAAGACAGUGCACAAAGGGAGAGAUUUCCAGGAAAAAAAUGGGUUAUAAGCAGUUUUUUAAUGACCCUGCUUUAAAAACAAACCUGAAUUAUAACAACAAUUGUUCUCUUGUUGUGUAGGAAAGGUCAUAUUAAAUAAUUCCUCUCUGAUUUUAUGCACCCAACAGCAUCCACCCAAGCAGGGACAGGUUUUGCCUCUUUGAUUUGCUAGUGCAGCGAUUAUAGCACAACCCUUUCUUUUUAUAGUUAUACAGUUAAUCAAGGACAAAAAAUAUCCAAUCACUUAUUUUUGCUGUUAUACAGAAGCACGUAGGUAUCUUUCAUUUUGAUUUCUGUGUGUGCACUGUUGUUACAUACAACAGAUAUAGCUGCUUUCUAGCUCUUUCAUUCUGGUCUUCAGACUUCUUUUUCGAAAUCUCACCUAGUCAACAUUUUGUUGUUGUUGUUGUUGUUGUUGUUGUUGUUGUCAAGGAUACAGUACAUACAUGCUAAAAGCAAAGACUUGCUUUCUGCCACAAUUAGAGGAGCGUUCAAAUCCAAUCCCUAGCAUCAGGUCUGUUUAGCAAGAUAGUGUAGGGUGGUUGACCAGAAGGCCAAUAGUUAGAGACAAUUCUCGUGGCUUAGUCUGAACCAAGAAUGGGAUUCCGAGCCUCUGGGAUUAAGCAUGGUGAAGCGUUCCAUGAGCUUCCAAACAUUCUCUCUGGUAACAAGUAGUGAACUGCUUGAACUCCAACUGGGUUGUCGUAUGUUUUAUUCAUGGCCCAUCAUAGGAGCCGCCAAACAGAUUAUCAUGUUUACAUCAGGCCUCCUUGGAGAGGGAAAUUCUUUAAUAGUUGAACUAGCAGGGUCAGUCAGUACAGAGAUGCCUGUGGGCGACCAAAUAAUAAAUAAAUAAAUAAAAUAAGAGAAGAAGAAAUGAAAUCAAACGUUGAGAGUUUAACGAUGUCCUUCAGCAGUCACCAAUCGAUACGCUUUUUAUCUCUUGCUGAAAAGGUUAUAUUAAGGUUCUGUCGUUUUAGUAGUUUUGCUCAUUUGCUUAUUUAGUUAUUUGCUUACUUAUUACAGGAGUGAGGAGAUGCAGGGGGCAUGGAAAAGUGCAGAGUCCACAGAAACCCCUUCAUUGGAGUGGACAGACCAUUACCAUGUCUAUUUAUGGUGUUGCAUCUUUUUUAGCAAUUCGGCCUUUUUCAGUAAGAUAAGUGCCAAGUGGAGCUGUCCUAUUGUUUCUGCUGGAAGUAAAUGCACUUUAGCAGAUGUUGUGACAUGAAGUAGCAUUUCCUUUUCUUGAGAGUCUGAUUUCAAAAUUGACUUACAAAGACACAUUACAUUUUGGCAGGGCAGUAGCUUUCCUAGGUUGUGCUUGCUUCUUGGUUUAGGGAUUUCCUACAACCUUGCCGUAUUUAGCCCGGCCAUUCAGCUUUAGGCAGGAAACUUGUUUUCUGACUAGAAAAAACCCAUGAGCUAACAGGUGAGGUCAUUAUUCACGGGAAUUCUUUCCUUUUAGUUCGGCUGACUUUAUGAUGUGUCAUAACGAGAGUUACACUGAGCGCUCAGAGUAUCACAGGGUAUCCUGGCGGGGGUUCUUGACGUAAACUAGAACCUCUGUGGGUUCAUAAGGCAAUUAGUCAGUCGUGGUAUCCUAGAAAUGGAAGGCACUUUAAAUAUCUCCAUGUAGAGGAAUACCUGUACGGUUGUUAAUAUCGGGGGUUUCUAGAUAUGAUAUCUCAUUCGGAGGUUUACAAUUUAUAACAUCCGGAAGUUCCUGUACAGAGACAAUAUAUUUACUUAACAUGUUUUUCAAAAGGAAUAUCAGCCUCCAUUUCAUAGACUGAGACUCAUGGGGAUGGAAGACGACCCAGUACCAACUCUGGCUACUUGUUUUGGUGACAAACAUAUUUGUAUAAAAAAUGACGUUUUAAAUUUGGAGUUGGGAUUAGUAAUGCCUUCAUGAGAAUUUAUUGCCUACAUUACUGAAUAAGAAAUGAAGGGCAUCUCAGCUUGGAUAUUAAUUUACUUAAAGAGAAUGGUCAAAAAGGAUCAAAUGUUUUAUAAUAUGCCUAGAAAGCACGUAAGACAUACAUUUCUAAAGGAAAAUGCUACUUAAAUAUUAAGAUAAUUUCUCUGUGAUUUCCAGAUGCUUAUCCCUAUAAUGCACCUUUGAAUGUCCUCUAUCUGGAAUGGUCUUCAUGAACUAUGUUUACUUGGCUAACUCUAGUAAUUCUUAAAGAUUCAGUUUACUCAUCUAUCUCUGAAGAUUUAUUUUACAAUUUCACACAAUGUUCAUUAUGAAUCACUUUCUUCUCUGUGUCAUCACUGUGCCUUGAUCAGCUCUUUCUUAUUGUCUGAGCCACACAGUAUUUAUCUUAAUUAUUUAUUGACAUUCCUCCCCUCUCUGACUGUGAUAUCCUUAUGGGAGGGACAAUGUCAGGUUCAUUUUUUAUUGUAUUUUCACAUCAACUUCAGUACCUGGCACAACAUAGUGACUCAAUAAAUACAUAUAAAAUAAAUGAGUAUGGCCUGAACACCACAUAUAUCAAAUCAGUUUCAGACUAAAGUUCUACCCAGAUAAAUAUAAUAAACAAAUUAAAUGAGAUGAGGCAAAGAUAAAAUAUUUAUGAAUACCUUAGGACUAUAGAGGGACAGAGAGAAGGAAAUGAUAAGUUGAUACUCCCAUUCAUAGACUAGAAUAAAAGUAGUUUCUUAAAUUGUCUCAAUUAUUUGUGCCCUCAGAAAGCUUGUCAGAGUCUGGAGGCUUAGUGUAUGUUCUUUUUCAAUCAUUCUCUAGUAAGCGAGGCAAUCACUGAGAAAUUUCUUGAAUCUAUGCCUGGUUAGGGAAGCUCUUGAGAAUUGAAAGAAUUUGAUUCACAAAAAGGUUUGGUACCAUUCACAGAAUGCAUAUUCUAAUCACUACAUGCUGGGUUUUUUUGUUUUUCCUUUUUUUUAAGGCACUGAUUAUUUCAGAAGGAAGCACAUCAACAUGACUAUAGUGAAACCGGAGGGGAAUUAUAGGUUUUUCUGCUUGAAAAUUUGUUAUUGCUUUUAUGAAAGGAAUUCACAUAGACAUGCAGAUCUUAAUAUAUCCUUGAAUUAUGAGAAGAUAAGCAAAUAUUUUUAUUUUAAAUCCAGGAUAUAGUUUACCUUAUGGUAUUAUAUAUGUUAGAAAUCUGAGAUAACUGUGAAGAUGUGAAGAAUACUUUCAUUUGUUCACUUGAUAAACAUUUCUUUGAGUAUUAGUUAUAAGGCAUUAUGUUGAGCCCUGGAAAGAUUUCCUAGAUAUGGAUAAUUUAGAAGUACAAAUUAAAAACAGAAUGGUAAGUAAAAAGAAAAAAAAAUCCUUUUUAUAUUUUCCUCUGACAAUUGAGAUAUUUUAUAAUUUGCAGUCAUGCUUUAGGGUAGCAGGAUAUACAGUUCACCAAUGACUCUUCUAGCUGUGUGAACAUAUGAUUACCCAAAAUCAAAACCAUAUUAAUAUUUAAGUUUAAAUAUUUUAUUUUCAACUUUUAUCUACCAAAUUUAUUUGCCAUACUUGAAAAAAAUCUAUAAAUCAGUUAUAGGAAGUACGAUGAGAAUAAAGAACCAAUUCUUAAAGAACAUAUUCUCUUCUGUUUUCACAUUUCUAAACUUGACUUUAACAAUUAAUAUGGCUAGCAAAUGUCUGGACCCUACAAAUGGAACAUUUAACAGCAAGACCAAAUGGCCAAAUGCUCACCACCUGCCCAUGCCCUCUUGCAAUCAAUCAGGCCUAACUUAACAAAACAACCAAAAUACAGUGAUUAACUAAAAGAAUUAGACCAGUGUACUCCUACCAAAUGACUUGGAGGUGAUUUUGCCCCCAGUAUUUGGAGAACAUUUGAGCAGACUGCAUUCCUUCUUUUUCCUCCUCUAUUCUGUCACGAUGACACUUAUCUGGGAGGUAUUCAAGAUUAUGUACAGAUGAUGAGAAGACAUACAGUGGGCAGUAAGAGUGAGUUAAGGAGGCACAAUCCUGUUAUUUUCAAACCACUUUACCAGAAUAUGGUGAAUAACUAGGGUGAUCAUAUAAUUUAUUAUUGAAACUUGGUGCUUUUCAAGUGAAAGGGGUGCUAUUUUUAAUUAUGACAGACAAUUGGUGUAAAUUGGGACCAUCCCAGGCAAAGUGGGAUGUAUGACCAGACUAUGAAUAAUUAGCCAUAACUAGACAAUGUAAAAUUAGUUAAGACAAAUUGGCGAAGUUAGCUGUAGAUAGUCUGUGUAAGGUAAGGCUUUUCUCUUUCUUUCUUUCUUUUUUUUU